CUCUUCUGACUCUCCUUUCUCCCAAAGGGGAGUGAACCUCUACUAUCCUUUCAUGCAAUGGCCUUUCUUACUUGAUAAUUGUUUUCUUCUUUUCCCACCUCCAUUUCAGCCUAUUUUCUCUCCUCAUUAAUCUUCCAAUCUGACCUUCUGCCUCAACAGCAUGGCUAUGAGUCAGUGCACUGCCCAGACAUGCACUGGCAGCUUCUGGUUACCAGGAUGAGAGAAAACAAGGCAGUCCAGGUCAUGGUGUACAGGCAGGAACCCUUACCACCCUAAACUGCAUGGUCUCACCCAUGAAGAGAAUGGCCUUUGGCCUGCGCUAUCCUAUGAAAGGCUUCGAGGUAUUAUCCGAGGCAGGAACUUUACUUGGCUUCAGGAAGGGUGGGCAGACUUCAUGUCCUUCCCAGAACAAGAAGUCCAGAAGAAAACAAGGUGCAGAGAACCAAUGACCUCCAGUUUUAGUUACUACAGACUGCCAGAGUGCAAGUCGGUUCAUGGUCAACUGAAGGCAGUACUGGAGACAGCUGACACAUCCAAAAGAAUCAGAAAUGACACCUGAUCUUCACCCAUCAUUGACAAAGGAUUACCAGCCAACACAAAUAUGUGCUGUGACUUCUGUUAUCAAGUGGUUUGUAAACAACCAUGUAUUACAGGCAGGAUUUCAAGAGAGAUCAGUGUUGCCCUAUCCAGAAGGAAAAACACAAAAGUGUGCUUACAUGAACUCAUGCAAAUUCAGUGCUCAUGGCAUACGGAGAGUAGAAUUAUCUGGCCAUCUACUGAAGGAUCUGGGAUCUGAUGGAAGGAUUUGGGAUCAGUUUCCUACAGAGAAGAGAUAUCUAAGGAAAUAAUGAAGAUUAAAUUGAAGCAUGUCAUUUUGUGUAAGAGUGUCUGGUUUAAAACUGUUAUUUAUUGGGAACACUUUCUGUGUGAAACAAGUUUAGAGACACUAUGUUUCAAUCCCUCAAACUGGCUUCAUGUAGACAAUUUUCAUAUGGCAAAAUUAUUCCACAGAUCAGUCAGAAUUCAUGUCAUUCUGACUUUAAAGGUAACCUCUGGAUUAUUCUGUCCAAAAUAGGGCUAUUUUAAUUUAUACAAACAGAGAAAAAGGGAAGGGCUGUUCUUUGGACAAGGAGGCUCUCUGUGUGUGCCUCUGACAUCAGAGCCCAGAAAAUAAUAUUCCCCCAAACUGGUAACCCUAAUUUCUCCCUCACACCAUACUGGCCCACAGUCCCUUCUGUCCCAAGCCUUAAAUUUCCCAGUCCUUCCUGCCUAAAAGCUCUUUAAAAUGCCUUCUGUGUUGAGGCUCCCCUUCCACAUUGUCCCUUUCCAAGGCCUCCGCUGUUUCAAAUCACCUUUCUCCCCUACAAAAGCUACUCAUCUUCCUCCCCAUCUCUCCUUGCUUAGAUUUACUUUAUCUCUGACAAUUAUUUUCCUAUAACUUUCACUAACCCUGUUACUCCAGAGGCAGUCCUUGCAAUCCCCAAACCUCUAAAACAGAGAAAUAAGGCCUUCCUAAUCCCUUUCGAAGCCCAGCCUUUCUUUCCCACCUCUCACCUUUCUUCUCCAAACCCUUUACGAACAUUUCCUCAGACCUUUAGUUCCUCUUCUGUUCCCAAUUCCCAUUUCCUCUCUGCAGUCCCUGUGCUCCACAUCCUUAGUGCUCCCAGCCUGGUUCCCAGCUCCUGAGUGGUGCCAUUCAUUUGUAAUUGUAUAUAGAGUUUGUGUAUUACCCCUGCUGACUGCCAAGGGACAGUGCAGCCUUCUCAUCCACCCUCACCUCCAGCAGAGUCCUUUCCUUCCUUAUGUUGUCCUCAGAGAGACUCUUUGGAGAUGCUGGCACACACUUGGAGCCAGCUGCAUUGGUUCCAUCAGACAUAAAGGAAACUUCUAGCAGCUUCUCACAGGAGCCAGCCCUGCAGCCACCCAGCUACCAAAAACUUGCCAUGCAAAGCCCAGACAAAAGUAAUUAUUCAAGAAAAAUGCGCAUCAAAUUUCAUUUCCCUCCUCAAACUGUGAGAAUUCAAACUCAUUUCUCCUCCUGCUUUGUGCUCUCCUUUUCCUUUUGUUAGUCUUCUUUUUCCUGUGACUAUUUCAACUUCAGCUCAAGAAGAUACAACAAAAUAAACAGAAUAACCUGUAUCUGAAGAGGUCUGAUGCUCAAUCAAGAAAUUAAAGAUUUGACAUUGAACUUUCUCAGUCUAGCCAAGAAAAGCCUAGAGAAAAAAAUUCAUGAUUUUUCCAAGUAUUAGAAAAAGCUACUGUAUACUACUAAAUUCCAUACUACUCAGGAAUUUAAAAACACUGUUUCCCUUAAAAAAUAUUGAUAACUGUGUUUUUCAAGCAGUAUGCUCUUGUGCAUUUUUUCUAUGAAUGUUCUGAGAAUAUAUUCCAACUUAAAGAGAGACUUAAGGGAAAAUUCCUAUUUCUGAAACCUGAUCAAGUGUUGAACCAGCUGCUGAACUUCUCAUACUAGGGCGAUUUGAGACGGGCUGCAGAGAACUGAAUUCUCACAAUAGUAAUGUUAAACAUCAAACAGGGAGACCCCUGGUGAGUUUAGGUGUCUAUAUUGGAUUAGCUGCAGCUGAGCAGGGGAUUUCAGGAUAGUAAUUACUCUCAGCUACACCCAAGUUUAUCCAGAACUUUCUCAACCUUGAGUCCUUUUGCCGAUAUGACCUUGUUUUGACUUUUUUUUUUCCUUUUGGUGCUCCAAAAUCGCUUCCAGAUCAUUCUCAGAAACACAGGAGUUUGAAGUGGUUUUCUGCUUUUUUUCCUCCAUACUUGGACACAAGAUAAUGGUUAUAUGACCUCAGAAAGCUUUAUGGGAGGGAUUAUGAGAUGUUGUCAUAGCAAAUUACCAGCUCCUGGUCAACAUUGGUGUUGGCUCCUCACAAAAGCAAGAAACUCACGAGACAAGAAAAGCCUCUCCAGCUGAAGGGAGAAAGGAGACUCCCCUGCCAGAAAACUUUUCUUUAGUGCAGAGAGGAUCACCAGCUGGCCUGGCUCUGUCUAUUGUCCUUUGUUAGGGUAGCACAUGAGGACAGUGCAACUUUCUCUCCAUGUGCCCAGGGGCUGGGAUUCCCUCAUGUCCUCAGGCUGGGACCUCUAGCCUCUCUCUACAGAGCUGUUUCAGAUGGGAUGUGGUUUUGACAGCUGGACUGACAACUGUCCUUUGGGAAGUGACUCAAAUGAAGCAUGUCAAAGUUGUCAUGCAAAGGGUGACAAGUGUCAGAUAACCAUUGUCAUUUAUUUCUGUAGUUAUGUUUUUUACAGUUUACACAAUAUUUUGAUUGUGAAAUAUCAUCUAAUUGCAUACUUCCUAGUGGGAAAAAUUGUAAUUUUUUCUCAUUUUUAUUCCAUGUGUUAGAAUGUCUUUCCCAUAUUCUUUUCUUACACCUCCAAGCUUUGCUGUAGUAAUUUAAUAAUUGAGUAACUAGCACUGAAAACAGUAGAACAAUUUAUUCUAACUGUCAUGUCCGCUUUAGGGGGCUUACCUCAGGGGCAGAUUUGGCUCUCCCAUUUAAAGUUUUAAACUCAGUUUUUCAGUUUAGAGCAGCUCCCAUACUGUCUAGCAAACUUCUGAAAUAAACCUGCAAGCCUUUUAAAAAUCUGUUUUGCCUAAAUGGCACUUUUUAACCAAGUGUGAGUAAAGAAACAUUACACUGGGCUGUACCACUGGAGUCCCUAUUUCUCUAAUCUGCUUAAAGCCUAAAGAAAACUAUUAAAUUGAACCUCUAUGAAAUAGAAACAAAAAAUUUCAGCAACAAUUAUCACUCACUUCUGUAUUGCUUUCAAAAAUAAAUAAGGAAAUAUCUACCAGAACCAUGACAUGGUGCAAAGAAGUUUUCCAUUUGUUGCCUCCCCAAACAGGAUUCUGUUGCUUUUCUAGUAAAAGUUAAAUUAAAUGUUCUAUAAAUCCCUGCAAAUUGUUUGCUUUCAUUUCAAUACAAGAAAAUAUCUAUAGCACGAGUCAUGAGAAUAGGCCUUCUGUGCAGUGAUCACUUCAGACAACACUCAGAUCACUCACCUUUUGCU